rnacentral:lncRNA from 1 species
CUCUCAUAUUAAUAGUCGUAAUAUUUUACUUUGGAGUUUUAUUUAAACAACCUCAGUAGUUUGGAUGACAGCUUGAGAAAGCCUUAAGAGUUUGAGACUGAGUUUGAUGAUACUUUCUCGUAUGUUCGUGUACAGAUAACACUGUUCACAGUACUUUCCUACAAGACAAAAGAAAUAUGAGGUAUUUCAGUAUAGUUAGUGAAAUUAACAUUUAGAAAAGUGCAAACUAAGUACUAUCCACACAUACAUUCCUUAAAAAUAUUGAAAGAGAGGCCGGGCGCGGUGGCUCACACCUGUAAUCCCAGCACUUUGGAAGGCCAAGGUGGGCACAUCACCUGAGGUCAGGAGUUCAAGACCAGCCUGGCCAACACGGUGAAACCCCGUCUCUACUAAAAAUACAAAAAUUAG